rnacentral:rRNA from 12 species
AGGUGCGACCAUACCGUGUUGAAAAUUCUGCAUCCCGUCCGAUCUGCAAAGACAAGCAACACAGGGCCCAGUCAGUAGUGCGGUGGGUGACCACGUGCGAAUACUGUGGUGUUGCACUU